rnacentral:rRNA from 1 species
UACGUAGGUGGCAAGCGUUGUCCGGAUUUACUGGGCGUAAAGAGCGCGCAGGCGGUCGUUCACGUGGGGUGUGAAAGCUGGCGGCUUAACUGCCAGACGCCACCUCAUACGGCACGGCUCGAGCCCGUGAGAGGUCCACGGAAUUGCCGGUGUAGUGGUGAAAUGCGUUGAUAUGUGUCGGAACACCAAUGGCGAAGGCAGUCUUCUGGACGAGUACUGACGCUGAGGCGCGAAAGCCAGGGGAGCAAACGGG